AACGCACGAGACCUGCGGACCUGCGGAAGGAUCAUUACUGAAGUGAUUUGGGGAUGUUGCUGGCCCUCUCUCAAGGGGGGGCACUGUGCACUCCUCGAAACAAUUCACAAUUUCCAUCACACCCCUUGUGCACACCUUGUAGGCACCCAAACCCACCUCCGGGUGGUGGGGUCCUAUGUAUUCCUUCAUCUCACACUCUGUUGAAUGGUGCCAUGGGACGCAUCUAAAGGAUUAUUUGUA
rnacentral:misc_RNA from 1 species